ensembl:lncRNA
GUUCAGAGACUGUGACAGUCGAGAUUGAGAACAAGAAAGAAGUGAGACAGAGAAGCACGAUGGAUGAAUUCAGAUGGAUUCAAAUGUUUUUAUGUCUGAUGCUGAUGAUUCAGAUUGCAGUAUCUGUAAAUGAAACAUCCAUGUUUAUGAAAGUUGGAGAUGACGUCACUCUGCUUUGUCUGAAUGUGAUAGAUGAGCAGAAUAACUGUAAUGGUACUACGUGGGUCUUUACUCCAAGAAACAGAGAAACAACAGUAGAGCUGAUCACACUUGGACAGAUUAGUACAGAAGCCAAGACUAAAUCAGACAGACUGAGUGUUACAGCGAACUGUUCUCUGCUUAUAAAGAAGCUCACAGUUGAGGAUGUUGGUCUUUAUUCCUGUCGACAAUACAAAGUCGAGGAAACACCAUCUAAACACACUCUGGUUCGUCAGUCUUUGGUUCAUCUCUCUGUUAUUACCUUGACUGAACAUAAGAACACUGAUGAGGUGACAUUAAGCUGCUCUGUGGUGACAUAUGCAGAGUGUCAUCACACAGUGAAGUGGCUGCUUAAAGGUCAAGAUGUGGACAAAGAGAACAAACAAUUAGUGACUUCACAGACUGACUGCUCCACCACUCUGUCUGUUCCAAAGUCUCACUUUCUCCACUCAUCAACUGAUAAAAUACUCGACUGUGAGGUGACUGACACUAAAUCAGGAAGAGUACAGGUGUUUAGCCCACAGCCCUCAGGUGAGAAAACAGAUCUUUCACUGUACAUCACCGGAGCUGUUGGUUUGGUUAUACUGUUAGUAACAGCUGUGUUUGUCAUCAGAUGGAAGAAAAAUAAAGGAAACAAAACACAGAUGUAUGAAAAUGCUGGACUGAGUUUGAAGCCCACAGAGACUCGGUCUGCUCCUCAAACCAUUCAGGACUUGGUGGAGCCUGAAGUUUCCUAUGCCACCAUCAGCUACACCAAGAAUAGCAACAGUAAAACCCGGGUUCAUCGUGAUGGUGAAGGCGAUGCUGUGACCUACAGCACUGUGAAGGCUCCUUCCUCUGCAUCCACUGCUGAUCCCAGCAACCUCUACUCUACUGUCAAUGUUGCAAUCACAUAGCUCAAGCAGUUGAAAAAAGCACUCGUAUUUAAUGGAAAGGAAAUUUUUGUUUUGACUUGAGGCAGUGUGAUCGCAACAUGUUAAUUAAGUUAUUGCUGUUGUUAGCUAGAUUGCCUCACAAGGUUGUCUUAAUGUUGUUCUCAUGGAUGCUGAGCUUAAUGUUUCCAAGAGAUUUAGUAAAAUGCCGGUUAUUGGAAGAGUGCCGAGCUGAAACCCCCACAGGCAACUCGUGUCCCCCCCAAAGAAACAUCAACACUUAAAUUAAAAAAUAAUCAUUUUUUACAAUAUGUUUAUGAAAUACAGUUGGUUUCGUUGCUACUUUUACAUGUCUAUGAACUGCUCAGAAUCUCUAAGAGACGGCUGGGUGAGCAGAAAACAAUUAUUACACCAAACAGUCAUGUUUAUGUUUCCUUUUUUAGGUUAGCACAAAACUGUGUAAAUAAAUGUCUCUUUCUCUCUUUGUCUCUCAAGACAUUGUAAACAUUUCAUUGUAUAUAACUGAACCAGUAUUUUUCCAUAACUUAAAGCAAGUAUCAAUAUCUACAUGUAUCCAAAAAGCCAUUCAGUUCUGUGUAACUAAAAUAGCAAUAAAAUAAAGAUCUGUCUCUGUUUUGUAAUCCA